rnacentral:tRNA from 1 species
AUUUAAAUAGUUUAAUAAAAAUAUUGAUUUGUGGUAUCAAAGAUAUAAAAUUUUUAUUUUAAAUU